GUCUGGAGGAGGUGAUAUCUGGCUGAGAUCCGGGAGAAGGGUGGUGUCACUGAUGUCUGGAGAGAGAGUCACCUGGCUGAGGUCUGGGGAAAGGGACAUCUGACCAAAGUUUGGGGAAAGAUCUGUCUCACCAAGGUCUGGAGAAAGUGUCAUCUGGUCGAGGUCUGGGGUAAGGGGAAUUUGACUGAGAUCUGCAAAGAGGGGCAUCUCACUGAGGUCUGGGGAAAGGUUUGUCUGACUGAGUUCUGGAGAGAGAGUCAUAUGGCUGAGUUCUGGAGAGAGGUUUGUCUGGCUGAGGUCUAAAGAAAGGGUUGUAUGGCUGAGGUCUGGAGAAAGGGUUGUAUGGCUGAGGUCUGGAGAAAUGGGCAUCUGACCGAGGGCUGGGGAAAGGUUUCUCUGAAUGAGUUCUGGAGAGAGAGUCGUGUGGCUGAGGUCUGGAGAGAGGUUUGUCUGGCUGAGUUCUGGAGAGAGGGUCACCUGGCUGAGGUCUGGAGAGAUGACUGUCUGCCAGACUUCAUGUUCUGAGGAAGGGGACAUUUGACUUAUAUCUGUGGGGAAGGACUUGUGACUUCGGUCAUACUCAAGCAUUUCACUGAGCUCUGGAGAAGAGGAUCUGUG
rnacentral:lncRNA from 1 species